AAUAGAUACCCCGGUAGUCCACGCCCUAAACGAUGUCGACUGGUUGUUGGGGGUUUGACACUCUCAGUAACGAAGCUAACGCGUGAAGUCGACCGCCUGGGGAGUACGGCCGCAAGGUUAAAACUCAAAGGAAUUGACGGGGACCCGCACAAGCGGUGGAUUAUGUGGAUUAAUUCGAUGCAACGCGAAAAACCUUACCUACCCUUGACAUGUCCUGGAGCCCGCUGAGAGGUGGGUGUGCCCGAAAGGGAACGGGAACACAGGUGCUGCAUGGCUGUCGUCAGCUCGUGUCGUGAGAUGUUGGGUUAAGUCCCGCAACGAGCGCAACCCUUGUCAUUAGUUGCUACAUUUAGUUGAGCACUCUAAUGAGACUGCCGGUGACAAACCGGAGGAAGGUGGGGAUGACGUCAAGUCCUCAUGGCCCUUAUGGGUAGGGCUUCACACGUAAUACAAUGGCGCGUACAGAGGGCUGCGAAGGGGUGACCUGGAGCCAAUCCCUGAAAAGCGCGUCGUAGUCCGGAUUGCAGUCUGCAA
rnacentral:rRNA from 1 species